GUCUACGGCGAUGCCACCCUGAACAUGCCCUAUAUGUGAUCUUGGAAACUAAGCAGGGUUGGGGCUGGUUAGUAUUUGGAUGGGAGGCCACCUAGGAAGACCAGGUGCUGCAGGUG
rfam:Pteropus alecto contig64335, whole genome shotgun sequence.